GUUGAGUUUGAUUUGUCUUUGAGCAACACCGAUGUUCUCAGAGGAGCAAUUCUGAAAGAGCUAUACAUUGUUUUGACUAGCAGUAGUAGAAUUAGGAUGUGUUGAUAUGGGUUUCAGAUUGUAGUCUUUUGUUUAUCAAAUGUUAGAUUCCAGUAUCAGAACUACGAGCAUGAAUGGUAUUUGUUAUGUCUAGGCCAGAUAUGAGUUUGGAGCUAUA
rnacentral:lncRNA from 1 species